UCAUUUUCUAAAAAAAAAACCCUAAAUUAUUUUUAAAAUCUCUUAAUCCCCCACGCAGACCUCGACGGCGCCAAGUAGGCCUCCCCUCUCCGUCAUGGCUCUAACCGGAUUCCUAGGGAUUCGUUAGCCUUUGGAUCGGAGGAGCAAAUGCUGAUUGGAUCGACGCCGAAUGACUGCCGUUCGUGGGCAUGAAGCGUGGUGCGCGUGACUGAGGUAAUGGCGCGCAUGAAAGCUGGCACGAAGGCAGCAGCGGCACAAGGGGAAAAGAGAACCCUAGGGUUCUGAAAAUAUUAAACUUUCGGGCCCUAGCUGGUUUUUUCAUUGAGCCAUUAUAAUUUGAUUUGUGUUUUGGGCUAGGAUAUUAAUUUGGGUAUUGGGUUGGUGAUUUGAAUUUAAUGUUUGGGUCGGAUGUUGGGUUUAUUUUGGUUUGGGCUUUGUUGUAACAAAAGGGACUUAGAUUAUUAACAUUUGUUUUCUAUUUAUUUAUUUA